rnacentral:rRNA from 1 species
CAGGGAAUUUUGCGCAAUGGGCGAAAGCCUGACGCAGCGACGCCGCGUGGGGGAAGAAGGCCCUCGGGUUGUAAACCCCUUUUCUGGGGGAAGAGCAAGGACGGUACCCCAGGAAUAAGCCCCGGCUAACUACGUGCCAGCAGCCGCGGUAAUACGUAGGGGGCGAGCGUUGUCCGGAAUUACUGGGCGUAAAGGGCGCGUAGGCGGCCCAGGAAGUCUCCGGUGAAAUCUCCCGGCUUAACUGGGAGCGGUCCGGGGAAACUCUUGGGCUUGAGGACAGCAGAGGAGGGUGGAAUUCCCGGUGUAGUGGUGAAAUGCGUAGAUAUCGGGAGGAACACCAGUGGCGAAGGCGGCCCUCUGGGCUGUACCUGACGCUGAGGCGCGAAAGCGUGGGGAGCGAACCGG